UACGUAGGGGGCAAGCGUUAUCCGGAAUUACUGGGUGUAGAGGGUGAGUAGGCGGCAUGGUAAGCCAGAUGUGAAAGCCUUGGGCUUAACCCGAGGAUUGCAUUUGGAACUAUCAAGCUAGAGUACAGGAGAGGAAAGCGGAAUUCCUAGUGUAGCGGUGAAAUGCGUAGAUAUUAGGAGGAACACCAGUGGCGAAGGCGGUCAACUGGACAGCAACUGACGCUGAGGCGCGAAAGCGUGGGGAGCAAACAGG
rnacentral:rRNA from 1 species